rnacentral:rRNA from 1 species
CUACGGGUGGCUCCAGUCGAGAAUCUUCCGCAAUGGACGAAAGUCUGACGGAGCGACGCCGCGUGCGGGAUGAAGGCCUUCGGGUUGUAAACCGCUGUCAGUGGGGAGGAAAUGCAUCAGGGUUCUCCCUGGUGUUUGACCGAUCCGCAGAGGAAGCGCAGGCUAAGUUCGUGCCAGCAGCCGCGGUAACACGAACUGCGCGAACGUUAUUCGGAAUCACUGGGCUUAAAGAGUUCGUAGGCGGCCUUUCAAGUCGGGUGUGAAAUCCCUCGGCUCAACCGAGGAAUUGCGCCUGAUACUGUUGGGCUUGAGGGGGAUAGGGGUGAGCGGAACUGAUGGUGGAGCGGUGAAAUGCGUUGAUAUCAUCAGGAACACCGGUGGCGAAGGCGGCUCACUGGAUCUCUUCUGACGCUGAGGAACGAAAGCUAGGGGAGCGAACGGGAUUAGAUACCCCUGUAGUC